UGAAAUUUUGGUUUAAAUUUUAUAAGAUAUUGAAUGUGAAAUUAGUAAGUGUUAAAUAUAGAAAAAGAGCUAAAGCUGUAUUUUAGUUUGGAUCGGAGACUCUUAUUUACUCAGAGAAGAAGCCCCUAUUAUUAUUGUUAAA